AGUGGCCCUCCAUGGCCAGGGUGGAAUGCUUGCCUUGUCGCCACGGUGACAAAGCAAGCAUUCUGCCAGGCUGCUCAUACUGCCUGC
rfam:Myotis brandtii contig252528, whole genome shotgun sequence.